UCCGGUUUGUCACCGGCAGUCUUGCCAGAGUGCCCAACUGAAUGUUGGCAACUGGCCAUGAGGGUUGCGCUCGUUGCGGGACUUAACCCAACAUCUCACGACACGAGCUGACGACAGCCAUGCACCACCUGUCUUAGAGUUCCCUCGCGGGCACCCCUCUGUUUCCAAAAGGUUCUCUAGAUGUCAAGCCCUGGUAAGGUUCUUCGCGUUGCGUCGAAUUAAACCACAUCCUCCACCGCUUGUGCGGGCCCCCGUCAAUUCCUUUGAGUUUCAGCCUUGCGGCCGUACUCCCCAGGCGGGAUACUUAACGCGUUAGCUACGGCACUGGAGGGGUCGAUACCCCCAGCACCUAGUAUCCAUCGUUUACAGCGUGGACUAC
rnacentral:misc_RNA from 1 species